CUUGUGAAGCCAUUAACACUUUGUAUACAUCAUUGGUGAUGAUCGAUGACAUAGAGGGAUGGCAAUAGCAUGUGGAGACCGUCGUGUUUGUUUCUGGAAAUAGAUUAUACAUCACUUACACUUACCUUGACCGUCCUCUGAUUAAUCAUUCUAUUGAUAGUGUGUAAAUGAACGGACAUAACAGCAAGCAGACAAUAGGUGGCAACAUUGCUGAUAUGAGUGGACAAGCAACUUGUAGUGUUAGUCGUCUUGGCAUUUUGUAUGCAACUGUCACUAUCGCAGUCUGUCGAUGUGGCCUGCAUUGCAAACAAGGGAGAACCGGGUGUCCCCGGAGUGCUUGGUCCUCCAGGAAGACAGGGACCAGUAGGAAAGGAAGGAGCACCAGGAAUUGCAGGCGGCACCGGCUUGAAGGGUGAGGCAGGAGCUGAAGGUGCAGUCGGUUCACCAGGCAAACAAGGAGUGGAAGGUGUGAUUGGUCCAGCAGGUCCACCCGGACCUCAAGGCCCUCCAGGGAAAAGUGGAAUGAUGGGUCCACCAGGACCUACAUGAUUUGGAUGUUGUGAUUGUUGGUGUAGUGUUUGUAUUUGAGUGUGUGUUAGAUGAGUGAAGAUGUGUUGAAAGUGUAUUUUUCUCCAGUCAAGGGACUGGCAGAGAGGGUAGGGAUGGUUAUUGUAUGGUGAGAUGGUGUUUGUAGUGCAUGUAGAGCAUGUGCUCGUUUGGUAGAUGAAACAACUGGAGGAUUGGAAAGAAGAGUUGACAAAGAAUGAGAGUAGAAUGAAUGAGAGUAGAGCGACUGUUGCAGCACAUCUUGUAGGAUCAUCAGCCAGUUGGUAUACUAUAUCAGGUGUGAUAACCUACUGGCAAACAAGCAGUCCAUCAUUCUUACUGGGUGGCAUCACAUACAGCAAUGGAGCUCUUACAAUUCCAUCUGAUGGUGUGUAAUAUAUUUAUACACAUCUCUACUUGUACCACAGUAGCAAAUCUAUUGUACCUUACAUCAGAGUAAAUGGCAAUCUGGUUUUGUACAUAGGAAGUUACUCUUAUCAUAGUGGAGACAAAACCAAGCAUGCUGGUCUACUUGAGCAGCUGAAAAAAGGUGAUGUCAUUGACAUACAUGGUGGAGGAUCUCGACAUCGCAUGGGCUUUACUCAUUCAGUUUUCGGUAUUUUUAAGAUUUACUAGAAGCAUGUUGUUGAGAAUGAAAAUGUCAAUUAAUUAAUUUAGUGAGAAGUGUGAGUAUCAUGACUCUCCAUGUGAUCAUGUUAGUCAUUAUAGUUGUGACUGUUUAUGAUGGACUGUAGUGUGACCAUUCAACCCUAAUUUGUGUUUGUAGUUUCAUUUCUGUUUAGUUCCAUUUCUAUAUUAUUAGCAAUAAAUGUUCAUCUCUUUGUCUCGUA